rnacentral:rRNA from 1 species
GACGAACGCUGGCGGCGUGCCUAAUACAUGCAAGUUGAGCGCUGAAGGUUGGUACUUGUACCAACUGGAUGAGCAGCGAACGGGUGAGUAACGCGUGGGGAAUCUGCCUUUGAGCGGGGGACAACAUUUGGAAACGAAUGCUAAUACCGCAUAAAAACUUUAAACACAAGUUUUAAGUUUGAAAGAUGCAAUUGCAUCACUCAAAGAUGAUCCCGCGUUGUAUUAGCUGGUUGGUGAGGUAAAGGCUCACCAAGGCGAUGAUACAUAGCCGACCUGAGAGGGUGAUCGGCCAAAUUGGGACUGAGACACGGCCCAAACUCCUACGGGAGGCAGCAGUAGGGAAUCUUCGGCAAUGGACGAAAGUCUGACCGAGCAACGCCGCGUGAGUGAAGAAGGUUGUCGGAUCGUAAAACUCUGUUGGUAGAGAAGAACGUUGGUGAGAGUGGAAAGCUCAUCAAGUGACGGUAACUACCCAGAAAGGGACGGCUAACUACGUG